ensembl:lncRNA LINC01393 long intergenic non-protein coding RNA 1393
CACACACUCUCCCUCCCCACCAUGUGAGGAUACAGGGAGAAAGCACUUAUCUGCAAGCCAGGAAGUGAACCCUUGCCAAAGCCCAACCAUGCAGGCACCCUGAUCUCAAACUUUCAGACUCCAGAACUCCACACUCUCCUCUUUGGUCUUUCCUGGUACGCAGCAUACAAGCCCACAGAUUGAGGACUCUGCACUUGCUGUUCUCUCUGCCUGGAGCUCUAUGGCUCCAGAUAGACUCCUGCCAACUCCUUCGCCUUGUCCAAGUUACCUUCAUUAAAUGUCAGCUUAAAUGUGUGCCUACUUUUUGCCCUACCUAGAAUUGCAAGCACCUCUCACCACUGUGCUCCCAUUCUCCUUAACUUAAGCCACUUUUAUUCUCAUAAUAAAGCCACAUAUUUUUUCUUAUUAUAUCAUAAUCGUACUGUAUAAUUUAUAUUUUAUUACUUUUGUUUGUAUACUUAUUGUAUGUUUCUGUUCACAAGGAUGUAAACCCCAUGAACACAGAGAUCUUUGAUUGUUUUAUUCACUGAUUUAUGCCAAAUGUUUGGAACAAUGCCUGGCACAUAGUAGAUGUUUGAUAAUUUUUUUUUUUUCUGAAUGAAUAAAUACAUUUUAGCCAAAUA